rnacentral:lncRNA from 1 species
AUGGUUUCUGCUGGAUGCAUGUGGCUUUGGCUGUUUACUUCAGUUGCUGAAGGAUUCAAAAGCCUGGUACCUGUGUUAUCAGAUGGGCCCAGUGUAAUCACAAAGGUCCUUAAAUGUGGAAGAGGGAGGCAGCAGAGGAGUCAGUCAGAGGAAGAUGUGAUGAUAGAAGAAAGACACAGCGAGGAGCAAUGCUGCUGCCUUUGCAAAUUGAAGAAGGGGACCAUGAGCAAAGCAACACGGGCGGCUUGUAGAGGCUGGAAAGAGCAAAAGGACACAGUCUCUCCUGGAGCCUCCAGAGGGAGCACAGCCCAGCUGACACCUUGAUUUUAGCCCAGCGAGACCCAAGCUGGGCUCUAACCUACAAAACUAUCAUGAGUUCUGAGAAGGCUGAACUAUGGAUCUCCUGUAAAAUGUGACCCAGGACCUUUUAAACA